CAUGCUUGUAGCUUUUGGUGUAGUGGUGGCUGUUGCAAGCGGAUCCAGUGCUGAUCAGAUGCUAUCUGGAUUUGAGUUCAUCUGGCCGGCUGUAAUGAUAAUAUCAAGUGCUUUUCAAGCUGGUGCAUCUAUCAUAAUAUUUGUGGAUGCUGCAAAACGCUUAAAGGGAAAGUCACUUGACAUAUUUGUUGUCAAUUCUUUUGGUUCUGGAUUUCAGGCUCUUUUUGUGCUCCUCCUCCUACCUUUAUUGUCAAACUUAAAAGGCAUACCCUUUGCUCAACUUCCUUCAUAUAUGAAAAGUGGUGCUGGUUGCUUAGUGAAUAUUGGAAGAAAUAUACCAGGCUGCAAUGGCGCUCCAUUGCUUCCACUGCUUUACGUAACUAUGAAUAUGGCUUUCAACGUAUCAUUGCUCAAUCUGGUGAAAAUUUCUUCUGCAGUUGUUGCCUCUCUUGCUGUAAUGUUGUCAGUGCCAAUAUCAAUUUAUGUGUUAUCUCUUCCAUUGCCAUAUCUUCCUGAGGGUGCAAGUUUGAGCCCAUUUUUUCUGCUCGGUAGUAUGAUCCUUA
rnacentral:misc_RNA from 1 species